rnacentral:rRNA from 1 species
GAUGAACGCUAGCUGCAGGCUUUAAUACAUGCAAGUCGAGGGGUAACAGAGAGUGCUUGCACUCUGCUGACGACCGGCGCACGGGUGCGUAACGCGUAUGCAACCUACCUUUUACAGAGGGAUACCCAAGAGAAAUUUUGAAUAAUACCUCAUAAGCUCUAUUUAUAGCAUUAUUUGUAGAGGAAAACUUCGGUGGUAAUUGAUGGGCAUGCGUCCUAUUAGUUUGUUGGUGAGGUAACGGCUCACCAAAACUACGAUAGGUAGGGGUCCUGAGAGGGAGAUCCCCCACACUGGUACUGAGACACGGACCAGACUUCUACGGAAGGCAGCAGUAAGGAAUAUUGGACAAUGGAGGAAACUCUGAUCCAGCCAUGCAGCGUGCAGGAAGAAUGCCCUAUGGGUUGUAAACUGCUUUUAUACAGGAAGAAACUUUUCCACGUGUGGAAAACUGACGGUACUGUACGAAUAAGGAUCGGCUAACUCCGUGCCAGCAGCCGCGGUAAUACGGAGGAUCCAAGCGUUAUCCGGAAUUAUUGGGUUUAAAGGGUCCGCAGGCGGUUUGUAAAGUCAGAGGUGAAAUCCUACCGCUCAACGGUAGAAUUGCCUUUGA